rnacentral:rRNA from 1 species
UGGACCUACGGGACGCAGCAGUAGGGAAUCUUCCACAAUGGACGAAAGUCUGAUGGAGCAACGCCGCGUGAGUGAAGAAGGGUUUCGGCUCGUAAAGCUCUGUUAGUAGUGAAGAAAGAUAGAGGUAGUAACUGGCCUUUAUUUUACGGUAAUUACUUAGAAAGUCACGGCUAACUACGUGCCAGCAGCCGCGGUAAUACGUAGGUGGCAAGCGUUUUCCGGAUUUAUUGGGCGUAAAGCGGGUGCGGGGCGGUCAAUAAGUCUGUUGUUAAAACGUUCUG